rnacentral:lncRNA from 1 species
CUAACAGUUGACCCCAUGAAAGGUUAAGGAUUAGUUGCUAGUGUUAGUACUUAGAGGCUACAAUUUAAUGGUUUCGGAUGCAGCCGUAGCCUGUAGAGUUCAGGAUCGUGAUGUCAUAUCGCUAAGCAUCAUGGGAUUUGCAGCAUUAUUAAACAAAUGGAGAUUUUCAAAGGUAAUACUGUAGUUUCUCACUGUCAUCAUUAUUUAUCCACUCCAUACUUGGUGGUAAGCUACUGUUGUAUUAGGAACCAGAAAAUGGGGUUUUCAUCACUUUGAGACAAUACAACAAUGUGAUGCUAUUGCUAGCUACUGCAGGCUCUGCACAGGUGGAGACAAGCCCCGGCCAGAAGCAGGAAGUGGGGAAAGGACAAGACAGAAAAGGACGUUGGAAUGUGGAGUUUUCAAAAAGAAGCAGAGCAGCUAUAAAACAUGUUUACCGGUGA